UACGUAGGUGGCAAGCGUUGUCCGGAUUUACUGGGCGUAAAGGGCGUGCAGGCGGUCUGUUAAGUCUAGGGUGAAAGCUCCCGGCUCAACUGGGAGAGGUCCUUGGAUACUGGCGGACUUGAGGGAGGCAGAGGAAAGUGGAAUUCCUGGUGUAGCAGUGAAAUGCGUAGAUAUCAGGAGGAACACCGAUGGCGAAGGCAGGUCUCUGGGCUGACACUGACGCUCAUGCACGAAAAGCGUGGGGGAGCAAACAGG
rnacentral:rRNA from 1 species